GGCUUAGAGUUUGAUCAUGGCUCAGGAUGAACGCUAGCGACAGGCUUAACACAUGCAAGUCGAGGGGCAGCACAGGUAGCAAUACCGGGUGGCGACCGGCGCACGGGUGAGUAACGCGUAUGCAACUUACCUAUCAGAGGGGGAUAACCCGGCGAAAGUCGGACUAAUACCGCAUGAAGCAGGGGCCCCGCAUGGGGAUAUUUGCUAAAGAUUCAUCGCUGAUAGAUAGGCAUGCGUUCCAUUAGGCAGUUGGCGGGGUAACGGCCCACCAAACCGACGAUGGAUAGGGGUUCUGAGAGGAAGGUCCCCCACAUUGGUACUGAGACACGGACCAAACUCCUACGGGAGGCAGCAGUGAGGAAUAUUGGUCAAUGGGCGUAAGCCUGAACCAGCCAAGUCGCGUGAGGGAUGAAGGUUCUAUGGAUCGUAAACCUCUUUUAUAAGGGAAUAAAGUGUGGGACGUGUCCUAUUUUGUAUGUACCUUAUGAAUAAGGAUCGGCUAACUCCGUGCCAGCAGCCGCGGUAAUACGGAGGAUCCGAGCGUUAUCCGGAUUUAUUGGGUUUAAAGGGUGCGUAGGCGGCCUUUUAAGUCAGCGGUGAAAGUCUGUGGCUAACCAUAGAAUUGCCGUUGAAACUGGGGGGCUUGAGUAUGUUUGAGGCAGGCGGAAUGCGUGGUGUAGCGGUGAAAUGCUUAGAUAUCACGCAGAACCCCGAUUGCGAAGGCAGCCUGCCAAGCCAUGACUGACGCUGAUGCACGAAAGCGUGGGGAUCAAACAGGAUUAGAUACCCUGGUAGUCCACGCAGUAAACGAUGAUCACUAGCUGUUUGCGAUACAGUGUAAGCGGCACAGCGAAAGCGUUAAGUGAUCCAUCUG
rnacentral:rRNA from 1 species